GAUGAACGCUAGCUACAGGCUUAACACAUGCAAGUCGAGGGGUAACAAGAGAAAAGCUUGCUUUUCCUGUUGACGACCGGCGCACGGGUGAGUAACGCGUAUCCAACCUGCCUAUAACUAGGGAAUAACCUUGCGAAAGUAAGACUAAUACCCUAUGAUUUCCUUUGAUGGCAUCAGAUUAGGAAUAAAGAUUUAUCGGUUAUAGAUGGGGAUGCGUCUGAUUAGCUUGUUGGCGGGGUAACGGCCCACCAAGGCAACGAUCAGUAGGGGUUCUGAGAGGAAGGUCCCCCACAUUGGAACUGAGACACGGUCCAAACUCCUACGGGAGGCAGCAGUGAGGAAUAUUGGUCAAUGGGCGGAAGCCUGAACCAGCCAAGUAGCGUGCAGGAUGACGGCCCUAUGGGUUGUAAACUGCUUUUAUACAGGAAUAAAGUUAGCCACGUGUGGUUAUUUGUAGGUACUGUAUGAAUAAGGACCGGCUAAUUCCGUGCCAGCAGCCGCAGUAA
rnacentral:rRNA from 1 species